AAAAACUUAUGUGAAUUGUGAUCAAGGUGUCGUAAGAGACCUUGCAUAUGGAUGGAAUUCUCCGCCCAUAUUGUGUUUGAUUCGGGAACAACACAUGGUUGUAGUUCCUGGGCGAUGUCAUAGUAUUAGAGAGGAUUCACUUUUGUGAAUUCAAGUCUACCGUUCUUAUUUGGAAGUACGGGCUGCCAGUUAAAGUUAUGGUAUGCCUUCCCCAUUCCAUAGUACUUCCGUUAGAG
rnacentral:lncRNA from 1 species